rnacentral:misc_RNA from 1 species
GUACUUGUUGAUUAUCACUACUACAGAAGGUGGACAUCAUCCGUUUUGAGAGUACAAGAAGAACAAUAGAAGUGACUGCACCAGCUAAAAAUGUUUGCUUGAAUCUUCUAGCCAAAGAGUAGAAUGUAACUGGCAGGAGAGCCAAGAUUGAGAAUGGCCAACCAAGAAUUACCCCAACAGCUGCUACAAUGACAGCCAUAGCAGGUUUUCCAAGAAGAAAUAACCCUGAAGAGAGACUCAUGGCAUACAUUGAGAAUGAACUUGGCAGAAAACUUGUACUAGCAAAGAAACAACCACUGGUUAAGCAUAGCAUUGCAAGCGCAUAGGAAGCUAGACGUU